CCCCUUUCAGGGUCACACCUGGAGAGUUUCCAGAACUCCACCAGACUCGACUACAAGAGGGAGAGUCAGGCAGGGGCAUUUCCAUUCCUAGCUUGGGCAGUGGCUAGCAAGUGGAAGGCAAUCUGCUACAAGU